rnacentral:rRNA from 2 species
GGCUCAGAACGAACGCUGGCGGCAGGCCUAACACAUGCAAGUCGAGCGCACCUUUCGGGGUGAGCGGCGGACGGGUUAGUAACGCGUGGGAAUAUACCCUUUGGUACGGAAUAGCCUCUGGAAACGGAGAGUAAUACCGUAUGAGCCCUUCGGGGGAAAGAUUUAUCGCCAAAGGAUUAGCCCGCGUUAGAUUAGGUAGUUGGUGGGGUAAUGGCCUACCAAGCCUACGAUCUAUAGCUGGUUUUAGAGGAUGAUCAGCAACACUGGGACUGAGACACGGCCCA